GGUUAAUGCUCUUUUUUCUUUAUCCGGCCUCUCCCAAAUCAGUUAGCACUUAGGCUCUUUUUAUCAAAUAUAAAAACCCAGCCCAGUUCAUGGCUUGUUUGGCAGCAAUCCUGAGAUGCUUUACAGCCCUAGACCCUAAAAGGUCAAAAGCCCAUCUUAUUCUCAAAAUACAUUUUAUUACCCAAUCUGCUCCCGACAUUAAAUAAAACUCCAAAAAUUACAUUCCAGCCCUCAAACCCCACAACAGCCAGGCUUCUAAACCCCUUAAAACUCCCCCACUCUGGUGCUAACUUGGACAACAUUCUUUUAUGCAUUCUUUUUUUAGUUAUCCCUACCUGCCCAGUUCUCUUAUUAGGCUGAGACAUUUUAACUGAAUUAUCUGCUUCCCUGACUAUUCCUGGACUACAGCCACAUCUCAUUGCCACCCUUCUUCCCAACCCAAAGCCUCCUUCACGCCUUCUUCUCAUAUCCCCCCACCUUAACCCACAAGUAUGGGACACCUCUACUCCCUCCCUGGCAACUGAUCAUCAGCCCAUUAUCCCAUUAAAACCUAAUCAAUCUUACCCUGCUCAACACUAGUAUCCCAUCCCACAACAGACUUUAAAGGGACUGAAGCCUGUUAU
rnacentral:lncRNA from 1 species